UCCAAGCCAAGUAACUGAAACAAAAGGUAAGCAAAAGAACCCGGUGAAUUCUUCUUUUCCUAAAUCAGCACAAUUGACAUAACAUCCCCCCAGUCAAAUAAGAUAAUAUGGUCCAGAAAAGUAAAUACAUCUCAAAUUAUUCGAUCUUGAUGGGGGAUUUAAGACUACCAUUUAUAUUUUCAUCCCCCCAACAAACAGAAGAACUAUAUUUGGUCUGAGUAAACCACAACAAAUUUUAUAAUUAACCAACCUGUCUCUGUUAUAAGAUUUUUUCCCCUCCAUUUUCCUUCUCUCACCCCCUCCCUGUCAAUCCCCUCUAUCUGUGUCUCCCAAGCUUUCUCUCAAAGAUGCCCUAAAAUCACCAUAUAAUAUUGAAGACUUUGGCUUCUUUUGCUUGCCGGGUAAAUAUGAAUGUCUGCCCUUUUAUGUAAAAUAGUUUGAUCCAUACAACAAAUAAGCAAAAGAGUUUGAUGGACACAGAUACAUUUGGCAGCUGCAGUCCACUGUUCUCUCUCUUUUCACUGCUGAUAUCAGAGCUUCUCCAUUGGCAUUGAAACAAAUCCCAGGAUUCUUGAUAACCUGAUUCACCCCCAACUCUGCAAGUUUGGCACAUGUUUUUCCAGAAAAGAGUGGUCCAUUGUUUGUCCAAAUACUGCAUUUUGUGCUUGUUUUGACUAUGAUGAUUGGAUGGUGAACAGAGUUAGAGAAUGAGGUUAGAAUCAUUGAUUGAUGCUGGGUAAAGCAUGGGGUUGAUAAUCAAUCAUAAAUUUCUAAGGGUGGCACGAGACCCUUUUUGGCAGCAGGAAGCACUGGCUUGACCAUUCUAUCACAGGAAAGUCACAUUUCUCAGGCAAUGAAAAGGAGAUUCAUAUUGUAUUGUUAAUCUGAACAAGAAAACAUGCUGAGAUUUCUUUAUCAGCAAUUGGAAAAUUAAGACUAACUUAAGCUAGAAAUUGGAAAUUUGAGAUAGAUUUAGAUGAUGAUUUUGUAGGCAAUCAUUGAGAGGUAGAAAGAGACAGAGACAGAGACAGAGAGGGAGAGAGAUGGAGUUACAGGAUAGAAAUGGGGCAGCAACAGAAUUGAGAGAGGAAGACCAUGAGAAAAAGGAUAUUUUGUUCCACUUCAAUAAGGAGGUUGUGUGUUUAGCACAAAUGUUUCUGGAAAUAACCCCACUCUAUUGAAAACCCAUAUUUUUAAACAAUCAACUUUAGUUGCAAGGACAACUGCCUUAUAAACAUUUAAAUUUUCUAAACAAAUCUUGUCCACAUACAAAAAGAAGAUGAUUCAGCACCACCCAUUUCCCAAUUCUGAAUACUAAGAGAAGCUUUGUGCAGAUUGACAUCCUUUGCAUACAAACAACAAUGGGUAUAAAUAGCACAUGGAGAAACAGACACGUGGGAAAAAAAAAGAACACAGAUUGAAAUCCCUAGUCUCCUUAAGAAUUCUUUUGGAAUUUGGACUUUGUGGUACUUGCAAUGCCUGAAAACCUAGUGAAAUGUAAGAAGUAUUCCCUAAAUUUUACUAAACUGUCAUUCUAAACCGUUUACAUACAAAUUGACAACCAAAUACAAGACCCGAAGUUCAAUGUCUACGGUAAAAAGAUAUACUCCUAUCUGACAAUCAUAAGAAAAAGUCUAAUAAAACAAAGUGCAAAGUUGACUAGAGUAAAAAAAAACGAAACUAACUACCAUUUUUCACUGCUUUGAAUCAAGCUGCAUGCUACCAGCAAAAGGAUCUAAACCCAUCACAUUAUCAACAAUUAAAAAUGUGAAAAAUAAUAAAAGAAAUUUAUGCAUGCAAAGUACCUUGCCUGUAGCAUUACGAACAGGUGAUAUGUGAAGAAGGUUCCAAAAUGUACUCUUAUUCUUCCUGUAAUUUAAGAUACGUACUGUACAUGCUUGUUCAGCUUGAAUACUUUCCUUUAUCUUCUCAAGAACUGAGGAAUCUGUUUCAACUCCACUUAAAAAUCUACAAUUGCGCCCCAACACUUCACCCCUAGCAUAACCUGUCAAUUUCAAGAAGGCAUCACUGGCAUAAACUAUAGGCAUAUCUGACAAUUGUGGAUCCGUCAAUACAAAGCUUUGUUUGAUUCUACCAAGAGAUAUAUUUAAAGAUGAGCUGAUAACGGUUGCUCCAGGUAAUUUGCAUAUUUUUCCACACACUAAUUUACCAGUUGACUCGCUAUAUUGAGUUAGCACGGACAAAAUAUGGUUAAUCGCAAAUGUUGCUUUUCGCUUCUCUGCCUCACUUGCUUCACAUGGCUCUUCAAUAUUUAAUCCUCUAGUAUCCGAAUCCAAUGCCAAAACCCGACCCAAAUCCACCAAGGAAUCCAAGCAAACUUCUCUCCUACAAGAACCAAACACAAUCUCUCUAAAUCCGGACCCUUCCUCACUCAAACUCGACCCGUUUAACCUCUUUCUCCUCAAAAUCGGCACCUGAACCGCUACAAAGUGAAUGACCCUCCCGUCCUCCUUCCCGAAAACAGGGCUUAUGUGAAACAGCAUCCAAAACGGCGUGCCGUCUUUGCGAUAAUUCAACAAACUGAUCUGCAGCGCCCUCUCUUCCCGAAUCGCCUCGCGGAUUUCCAUGACGGAUCUUCGGUUAGUCUUAGGCCCCUGAAAAAUCCUUCCAUUUUGGCCUAUAACCUCGUCCUUAGAAUAGCCGGACAUCUUCAAAAACGCACUGCUGGCGAAGACAAUCGGGUGGUCAGAGAUGCAAGCAUCAGUGAUGGUAAAACUUUCAGGCAAUUCAUCGAGAACUUCUCGUGCCCAGAUAGAGUAAUAACUAUUGAACGAUUGUUCAAUCAGAGCCAAGUGUGAUUCCAUUUGGAUUGGUCCCCUUUGAAAUUCUGUAUCCUCGUUUUGGAAAUCAGCCCCAAUCCCAUGUGGCACAGCUAAGGCAGGAUAGCGAAUCAGGGUUGAGAAAAGAUAGAGACUGAUGAAGUGAGUUCUGGGUUGAAUUAAAGAAUUGAAGAAAGGGUGAGAGAGAAUGUUUUCAAGCUACAGAGCUUGUGUUGUGAGAGUGAGGCGUAAGAGAAAGAAGAGAUUGAAAGAAAAUAUCUUGGUGAAUGAACAUAGAUGAUUGAGAAAUACCCAUCAAUCCUUGCUUGUUGCUCUCCUUUAAGCCUGCACAGGACAAGAAAUCUUCUUCUUCUUCCUUUCGUUUUCAGUAUAUGUGACAAAUGAAUGGGAAGUUGCUAGGCAAGAACUCGAUUGCAAGUACACAAUUAUGCAGGGGUCACAGAUUUAGCAACUCGAGCUUGUGAUUUCUAUUAUCUCCUCCUUCAAAAUAAAAUUAAUAUUAACAACUUAAAAUUAAU
rnacentral:misc_RNA from 1 species